rnacentral:rRNA from 1 species
CCUACGGGUGGCUGCAGUCGAGAAUCUUCGGCAAUGGGCGCAAGCCUGACCGAGCGACGCCGCGUGCGGGAUGAAGGCCCUCGGGUUGUAAACCGCUGUCAGGGGGGAUGAAGUGCAUGGGGGUUCUCCCCCAUGCUUGACAGAGCCCCAGAGGAAGCACGGGCUAAGUUCGUGCCAGCAGCCGCGGUAAUACGAACUGUGCGAACGUUAUUCGGAAUCACUGGGCUUACAGGGUGCGUAGGCGGCUUGUUAAGCAGGGUGUGAAAUCCUCCGGCUCAACCGGAGAACAGCGCUCUGGACUGGCAGGCUUGAGUGUGCUAGGGGUGUGUGGAACUUCCAGUGGAGCGGUGAAAUGUGUUGAUAUUGGAAGGAACACCGGUGGCGAAAGCGACACACUGGGGCAUAACUGACGCUGAGGCACGAAAGCCAGGGGAGCGAAC